CUGGUGCUAAACGUAUUAUCUCAUUUCCUGUGCGUCCCUUGGGCUUAUCCCAUACUUCCUGGCCCACCCCAGUUCACUCCGUUCUUUCAGGCAGCUCUAAUGAAACCCAGUUUCCAAGUUCUUGUACGCACCUAUAAGGUAAUGAAUUGUCAUGAUAUUUGCCCUUUUUCUCAGGUCCGGACUGGCUUCGCUGACGGAGACCUGUACCAUACCCUGACGUUUUUUUUAAAAAGCAGCCAUGGCCAAACUAGAUGAGAUGACGCAGCCAACCACCAAUCAGAUCUGAUAAUUCAGUGGUCAACAUUAUCUAUCAAAGAAGAAUGGUUCAGUGGGUGAUCUAAAUCAGUCUGGUGCAAACUCUUCUCCUCGCCCACCAUCCCACACACAAUUCUGAACUGGACCAGUGGUGGUCAGGAUUUUGUGACAACUAGUAGCUGCAUCACUAGUAGCUGCCCUUUAAUGAUUGGCAGCAAAGGGAAGGCUAGCAGAGGAGGCUAAAGCAAACAUAUUUUCCUUCCUGGCAGCACACUUGCCUCACACAACCUUUGACCUGUCACUGAUUCCUGCAGGAUUCUUGCACAGUACAAGAAUGUGCCAACGCCACAGGGCUCAUGUGGUUCUCAUCAGCUUUCCAAGGCUCAGUGGGUGGGAGUGCUGCUCUCCCACAUACAGCUAUUUGGAUGUCUCAGUGGCCCUGAAUGUAGCUGUAAGCCAGCUUUGCUCAUCUUCCUGCGUUGGUGGAGUUUACAGCAGGUCAGACAAGGAGUCUCCAUUCCAGCAUCCUCACAUGGUAACCAAGGACACUUGCUCAUUCUUCCGCACAGUUGCCCUGAUUUUCUUCUCCCCCUGCCAAGGAGGUCUUAAAUUUCAGCUUUGAUAUCUUCUUCUUCUGUUUUUCAAAUAUCCACCCCUCUUUAGUGGUCUGACCGACCCCACUCCCACGAGGAUGACCCCAUUGGCAUGGCGGGUCUGACUUCAAAAAGCAAGCUUUUCUUCUCGCCAUAGUUUGUCCCAGUUAAUGUGCUCCUCCUGGGACACAGCAGUUCAUUAUUUAUGCCACCCACAAACUCCUUGGGGAGUUUCAGUUUCACUUUAGCUGCUACUCCAAAUACAUUGUGGCUUUGAUUCGUGCUCCCACAGGCUGCAUUUCAGAUCUGACGGCGGGGGAGCAAAAACAAAACCUAGGGGCAAAUGCACUUGCUGAUCCUUCUCUGAAGCUACCUGAGGAGUUUUUAAUAACCAUUUCAUCUGUAGUCAGGGCAUGUAUUAAAAAAAACAACAAGCAGCCUAAUAAAACACCAUACAUCUUUGUCUGAAA